CAGUAGCCGCGGUAAUACGAAGGGGGCUAGCGUUGUUCGGAAUUACUGGGCGUAAAGCGCGCGCAGGCGGUUCUCCAAGUCAGUGGUGAAAGCCCGGAGCUCAACUCCGGAACUGCCAUUGAAACUGUUGAACUUGAGGACGAGAGAGGUGAGUGGAAUUCCCAGUGUAGAGGUGAAAUUCGUAGAUAUUGGGAAGAACACCGGUGGCGAAGGCGGCUCACUGGCUCGUAUCUGACGCUCAGGCGCGAUAGCGUGGGGAUCAAACAGGAUUAGAUACCCCGGUAGUCCCUGUCUCUUAUAC
rnacentral:rRNA from 1 species